CAGUAGCCGCGGGAAUACGAGGGGGGCAAGCGUUGUUCGGAAUUAUUGGGCGUAAAGGGUGCGUAGGCGGUUUGGCAAGUUUGGUGUGAAAUCUUCGGGCUCAACUCGAAGUCUGCAUCGAAAACUGCCGGGCUUGAGUAUGGGAGAGGUGAGUGGAAUUUCCGGUGUAGCGGUGAAAUGCGUAGAUAUCGGAAGGAACACCUGUGGCGAAAGCGGCUCACUGGACCAUAACUGACGCUGAUGCACGAAAGCUAGGGGAGCAAACAGGAUUAGAGACCCCUGUAGUCCCUGUCUCUUAUAC
rnacentral:rRNA from 1 species